AGUGAACGCUGGCGGUAGGCCUAACACAUGCAAGUCGAACGGCAGCACAGUAAGAGCUUGCUCUUACGGGUGGCGAGUGGCGGACGGGUGAGGAAUACAUCGGAAUCUACUUUUUCGUGGGGGAUAACGUAGGGAAACUUACGCUAAUACCGCAUACGACCUACGGGUGAAAGCAGGGGAUCUUCGGACCUUGCGCGAUUGAAUGAGCCGAUGUCGGAUUAGCUAGUUGGCGGGGUAAAGGCCCACCAAGGCGCCGAUCCGUAGCCGGUCUGAGAGGAUGAUCAGCCACACUGGAACUGAGACACGGUCCAGACUCCUGCGGGAGGCAGCAGUGGGGAAUAUUAGACAAUGGUCGCAAGCCUGAUCCAGCCAUACCGCGUGUGUGAAGAAGGCCUUCGGGUUGUAAAGCCCUUUUUUUGGGAGAGAAAAGCAUCAGGUUAAUACCCCGCUGUUCUGACGGUACCCAAUGAAUAAGCACCGGCUAACUUCGUG
rnacentral:rRNA from 1 species